UGGGGGAUAUUGCACAAUGGGCGAAAGCCUGAUGCAGCGACGCCGCGUGGGGGAUGAAGGCCUUCGGGUUGUAAACUUCUUUUGCUCUGAACAAGGCGCACCAUGGGGUGUGUUGAGUGUAGGGGUUGAUUAGCGCCGGCUAACUACGUGCCAGCAGCCGCGGUAAUACGUAGGGCGCGAGCGUUGUCCGGAAUUAUUGGGCGUAAAGGGCUUGUAGGUGGCUGGUUGCGUCUGUCGUGAAAGCUCAUGGCUUAACUGUGGGUUUGCGGUGGGUACGGGCUGGCUUGAGCGCAGUAGGGGAGGCUGGAAUUCCUGGUGUAGCGGUGGAAUGCGCAGAUAUCAGGAGGAAUACCGGUGGCGAAGGCGGGUCUCUGGGCUGUUACUGACACUGAGGAGCGAAAGCAUGGGGAGCGAACAGG
rnacentral:rRNA from 1 species